rnacentral:rRNA from 1 species
GAUGAACGCUGGCGGCGUGCUUAACACAUGCAAGUCGAACGGAAAGGCCCAAGCUUGCUUGGGUACUCGAGUGGCGAACGGGUGAGUAACACGUGGGUGAUCUGCCCUGCACUUCGGGAUAAGCCUGGGAAACUGGGUCUAAUACUGGAUAGGACCACUUCUUGGAUGUUGUGGUGGAAAGUUUUUUCGGUGUGGGAUGAGCUCGCGGCCUAUCAGCUUGUUGGUGGGGUAAUGGCCUACCAAGGCGUCGACGGGUAGCCGGCCUGAGAGGGUGUACGGCCACAUUGGGACUGAGAGACGGCCCAGACUCCUACGGGAGGCAGCAGUGGGGAAUAUUGAACAAUGGGCGCAAGCCUGAUGCAGCGACGCCGCGUGGGGGAUGACGGCCUUCGGGUUGUAAAAUCCUUUCGCUAGGGACGAAGCGUUUUGUGACGGUACCUGGAGAAGAAGCACCGGCUAACUACGUG